rnacentral:rRNA from 1 species
GCUGGCGGCGUGCCUAAUACAUGCAAGUCGAGCGAACGGACGAGAAGCUUGCUUCUCUGAUGUUAGCGGCGGACGGGUGAGUAACACGUGGAUAACCUACCUAUAAGACUGGGAUAACUUCGGGAAACCGGAGCUAAUACCGGAUAAUAUUUUGAACCGCAUGGUUCAAAAGUGAAAGACGGUCUUGCUGUCACUUAUAGAUGGAUCCGCGCUGCAUUAGCUAGUUGGUAAGGUAACGGCUUACCAAGGCAACGAUGCAUAGCCGACCUGAAAGGGUGAUCGGCCACACUGGAACUGAGACACGGUCCAGACUCCUACGGGAGGCAGCAGUAGGGAAUCUUCCGCAAUGGGCGAAAGCCUGACGGAGCAACGCCGCGUGAGUGAUGAAGGUCUUCGGAUCGUAAAACUCUGUUAUUAGGGAAGAACAUAUGUGUAAGUAACUGUGCACAUCUUGACGGUACCUAAUCAGAAAGCCACGGCUAACUACGUGCCAGCACCCGCGGUAAAUUUUAGGGGCAAGCGUUAUCCGGAAUUAUUGGGCGUAAAGCGCGCGUAGCGGUUUUUUAAGUCUGAUGUGAAAGCCCACGGCUCAACCGUGGAGGGUCAUUGGAAACUGGAAAACUUGAGUGCAGAAGAGGAAAGUGGAAUUCCAUGUGUAGCGGUGAAAUGCGCAGAGAUAUGGAGGAACACCAGUGGCGAAGGCGACUUUCUGGUCUGUAACUGACGCUGAUGUGCGAAAGCUGGGGGGCAAAC